rnacentral:rRNA from 1 species
CUUAACGUGGGCCACCAGGCGAUGAUCGAUAGCUGGUCUGAGAGGAUGAUCAGCCACACUGGGACUGAGACACGGCCCAGACUCCUACGGGAGGCAGCAGUGGGGAAUAUUGGACAAUGGGGGCAACCCUGAUCCAGCAAUGCCGCGUGUGUGAAGAAGGUUUUCGGAUUGUAAAGCACUUUCGGCGGGGACGAUGAUGACGGUACCCGCAGAAGAAGCCCCGGCUAACUUCGUGCCAGCAGCCGCGGUAAUACGAAGGGGGCUAGCGUUGCUCGGAAUGACUGGGCGUAAAGGGCGUGUAGGCGGUUUGUACAGUCAGAUGUGAAAUCCCCGGGCUUAACCUGGGAGCUGCAUUUGAUACGUGCAGACUAGAGUGUGAGAGAGGGUUGUGGAUUUCCCCAGUGUAA